rnacentral:rRNA from 1 species
GACGAACGCUGGCGGCGUGCCUAACACAUGCAAGUCGAACGAGGUCCAGUCGGUAGCAAUACCGACGAAGACCUAGUGGCGAACGGGUGAGUAGCACGUGAGCAACCUGCCCCGAAGACCGGGACAACACCGGGAAACCGGUGCUAAUACCGGAUGUCCCCACCGUGUCGCAUGGCGUGGUGAGGAAAUGGAUUCCGCUUCGGGAGGGGCUCGCGGCCUAUCAGCUUGUUGGUGAGGUAACGGCUCACCAAGGCUUCGACGGGUAGCUGGUCUGAGAGGACGAUCAGCCACACUGGGACUGAGACACGGCCCAGACUCCUACGGGAGGCAGCAGUGGGGAAUCUUGCACAAUGGGCGAAAGCCUGAUGCAGCAACGCCGCGUGAGGGACGAAGGCUUUCUGAGUUGUAAACCUCUUUCAGCAGGGACGAUGAUGACGGUACCUGCAGAAGAAGCCCCGGCCAACUACGUGCCAGCAGCCGCGGUAAUACGUAGGGGGCAAGCGUUGUCCGGA